rnacentral:rRNA from 1 species
AGUGAACGCUGGCGGCAGGCCUAACACAUGCAAGUCGAGCGGCAGCGGGUCCUUCGGGAUGCCGGCGAGCGGCGGACGGGUGAGGAAUACAUCGGAAUCUGCCCUGUCGUGGGGGAUAACCUGGGGAAACUUAGGCUAAUACCGCAUACGACCUACGGGUGAAAGCGGGGGAUCGCAAGACCUCGCGCGACAGGAUGAGCCGAUGUCCGAUUAGCUAGUUGGCGGGGUAAAGGCCCACCAAGGCGACGAUCGGUAGCUGGUCUGAGAGGAUGAUCAGCCACACUGGGACUGAGACACGGCCCAGACUCCUACGGGAGGCAGCAGUGGGGAAUAUUGGACAAUGGGCGCAAGCCUGAUCCAGCCAUGCCGCGUGGGUGAAGAAGGCCUUCGGGUUGUAAAGCCCUUUUGUCCGGGAAGAAAUCGUCUGGGCUAAUACCCCGGGCGGAUGACGGUACCGGAAGAAUAAGCACCGGCUAACUUCGUG